CCCCAUACACACAUUAUCAUUUGUUCCUACUCCACCCAUUUUUCUCACUAUCCCUUGCUUCCCCCCACCACUUCCACGUUAAAGAACCCCAAAAUCUGCUCCAAAAGGAUCUAUCCAUCAACAUCAAUAUUGAGCUCCAACGUUGCUGUGAAAAGGCAGCAACUCUCCUCCCCAAACCAGAGAAAAAUCAAAAGGCAAACAUUAGAAUAGGCCAUUGAACAAAAACGACCCUCCCCCGAAUCGUUUGCUCUUCUUCAUUGAGCUUCAGCUCUUUUGCCCAAAGGAGAUCGAUAAUCAGGGGAAAAAUGGGUGGAAUCUCCAAAAUUCCUACACCCCAAAAUAAGGCAGCGAUCUUUCUUAUUGGUGAAAGGAUCUUUAAUUCUAAUUUCAAAAAACAAUAAAAACGACCGCAGCUUUUGGAUUUGGAAAAUAAAUUCAACUAUAUUGGAUUCUUACACAAGAAGAAGAGCCGACGACUGUCUUCAACAAAAGGAAACGCCCUUCAUUUCCUGUCCGGCGAGCUCAGUUUGGCCAAAAUAAGCAGAAAAAUCCCAUUCUCGUUUGAUAGGUCCGAGUGAAACAGUCCCAAAAAAAAAGUCUCCGACAAGGUCCCGAUUCGAAUUUCCGAUGAGUCAAGUUGUAAUCCUGUUGCUUGGAUGAUGGGUCGAUGUUUAAAAUCCUGUAAUUCGAUCCCAAAGGAAACACAGUUAAGCUCAAUUGAAGGUUUGUUCCUUCUGUUCCGUAAACAUUUUUGUUGCAAUUUACACUUUGUUAUCGAUUUUCUAUUGCCUUACUCUAUUUGUUGCUUGAGUUAGUGUAUAAUCCAUUGUAAAUUUGUUCUAUCUUCUUCACUGUUAUUGCCUUUCUACACAUAUAUAUGUUGUUAAGUGAUUGCAUGAAACUACUCCACUGUUUUCUUUAAAAUUUUCCUUAUUAACAUGUUGAUUGGCUUGUUGAUUCGAAAAAUAGAUUGUUGUAUAGUUUAUUUUUAUAGUUGGUUGAGGUACUUUUUUUUUGGGUGCAAAUUGGAUUUGUUGAAUGUGGAUUAAUGAUUUCAUGGGCUAUUUGUCUAUUUAAAUUUGUUGUAUCUUUUUGUUGUUUAGUUUCGAUGCAAAUUACCUGGAAUGCUUAGGCUAAUAGCCCGCUUGGCUAAGAUGCAAAAAUCAACUUAUUUUGAGAAGUGCUUUUUUUCAAGUGUUUUUCUAAAAAGUACUUUUGGAGAGAAGCAGUUUAUAUUUGGCUAAUUAGUUUGAAAAGCAUUUCUGAGCAACAAUUAGUGUUUUGCCAAGCUUUAAAAAACUGCUUCUAAAUGUAUUUUUCUCAAAAGUGCUUCUCAAAAAAGUGCUGUUUAAGAGAAGCUACUUUUUUCUGUUUCUCCAAAACUGCUUCUGCUUCUCCUCAAAAGCACUUUUUUUCCUUUCAGAAGCUUGGCCAAACAACUCAAAUUUCGACUAAAAAUACUUUUGGCCAAAUAAGUAUUUUUGACAAAAAAUAAACUUGGUCAAACAUGCUAUAAGUUUGAAGGCAGGUUACUGCAUAGUCUAUUCAUGCAAUUGAUAGUAUUACUGUUGGUGAAGAAAUGUUGAAAAUAAAUUAUGCAGCAACUUCACUUAAACAUCGUUGAAGCCGUGACAUAGUUGUGAGUUGUAGUUAAUAAAAUUUUGGGUGCAUUUUAUGUAACCCGAUUAUAACAACUCUGAAAAAUAAAACCUUUUGGAAUAAUUUGAGGUAUGUCAUUUAGCAAAUUUCCAUGGCCCUCGCAAAGUUAAAAAAUGCGUAGUUGCUUUAGGCGCGUUGUUUUAAUAAUAUUACUUUCUUAAAUUCGGGUGCACAUAUAUGUGACCCAAGUCCAAAUCUGAACGGCGUUAGAAUGUGCCAAAAAUCACGGGUGCAUUUAUGUGACGUGAUUCGAGACGUGUUUUAACAAUGUUGUAAAUUUCUUAAAAAAUUAAUUCAAAGUGGUAAGUAAUUGCACUAUAAAUUGAAACAUGUAUUAAAUCACACAUUAGCUAUUUAUAAUAGUUUAAGCAACCGUGCUAGAACCACGGGAUCCGGAGGUGCCUAACACCUUCCCUCGGGUCAAGAAAAUUCCUCACUUAGAAUAUCUGAUUCGCAGACUUCAUUUGGAAAGUCAAAAAUUUUCUCGAUUCGGGAUUCAAGAUAAAUCGGUGACUUAGGACACCAAAAGCCAGACCUAUCCCAAGUGGCGACUUUAAUUGAAUAAAUAAUCCCGAUUUGAAUAAUGUCACUUAAAAUAGAAAAACUCCCUUAUACACUAUCUUUCGGGGUAGAUAUAUAAAAAGGAGGUGUGACAGCUCUGACGACUCUACUGGGGAUACGAACCCAGAAUUUCGAUUCAGGGUUCACGAAUUCGAGCUUAAAAUAACUGUUAUAUUUGGCUUUUUCUGAUUUCCCUACAUGUUUCAUGCUAAAUGUGCUAAAUGCUUAUAUAUAUUUGAUAUUUUGGUGAAUUGUAUAUAUAAACUGCCACGAAAUAUUUCCCCUCUCUAAGUAUUUUACAUCAUUGAGAAGGGUGCACUUUGUGUGACUUCUCUUAUGUUUAGAGUCUUAUCCAUUAUUAGAACGAGGUUCGGACAAGUUGCUAAGCUGGUGAAGCUUCUGUAUUCCCGAUAUGCUGCCCCCCCAUCCGGCUCGAGUUGUCUACUCGGGUAAGCCAGGUCUAGAACAAUAAACCCAGGUUUUAUACCUAGUAUAAGAAAGCCUCAUGCCGUAUCCCUAGUAGGAACGUUUGUUUGCAUCACAUGCAUUUGACUUAGGAGACUCAACACAAGGGUUGGGUUUGUCUAGGAUAGGUGUCCCUGAAACGAAAAGACCAUCCUGAUGCAUCUUACUCGCUACUUGUGCAUUUAUUGUCUUCAGAUUUGCAUGUUGACCAGUUUUGGAUAAUGGGAGAGUUGGAAAAGAGAAUAACAAUAUUAAGGUUAAGUGAGUUAAUCACCCGUUUUCGAAAAACUAAUACCCAAAUAGUACCCCAAACUCUACCGAAUUUUUGAAAAAAUGAAAGAAAAAGAAAGGUUUUUGUUUUCAAAAAUAGUUGGUUUUGUCAAAUCUUUUAUGUGACUUUUCUUCUCUUUAGAGUCUUAUCCCAUUUAGAACGAGGUCCAGACAAGUUGCUAAGCUGGCGGAGCUUCUGUAUCCCCGGUACGCUCCGCCCCCCGGGGGCUCGAGUUGUCCGCUCGGUAAGCCAGGUCUAGAAAAAUAAACCCAAGUUUUAAAACCUAGUAUAACAAAGCCUCAUGCCGGAUCCCUAGUAGGAACUUGGUUUACAUCACGUGCAUUUGACUUUGAAGACUCAACACAGGGGUUGAGUUUGUCUAGGAUAGGUGUACCUGAAAUGAAAAGACCAUCCUGAUGCAUCUUACGUACUACUUGCGCAUUUGUUUGAUUCGGCUUGCAUGUUGACCGGCUUCUAGAAUAGAGGAAGAAAAUAUAUAAAAAAAGAGAGUGAGAGGUAGGUAUUUAGAAAAUUUGAAACUCUGCCGAAAUUCUGAAAAAAGAAAGGUCUUUUCAAAAUGAGCUAACAUUUUCAUGUGUCAUGUUUCCCAUGUUCCGUCAAAUCUAAUUGAACUACGCGGGUCUGAUUCUCACCGGAUGUGAGAUACGUAGGCAAACAUCAUCAGUUCUCACCCCAAUUUUCAAAAAAAAAAUUCCAUUAGUCCUUUCUUUAAAAAUCUUUCCUUAGAAAAUUUAAAAAAAAAGUAGUGUUUAAACUGAAAAUAAAUAAAUAAAUGGUUUCUUUCUUUCAAAUGUCUUUUAUAUGAAAAAUCCAAUAAAAAUCAAAAUCCAAAAUACAGGUUUCUUUGAUUCUGAAGUCUUUUUAGAAAAAGAAAAACAUUCCAAAAAAAAUAUGAGAAACAAAAAUCCAAAAAAAUGUUCUUUAGUUGCUUUUUUUUUUAUUAUAAAAUAUCGAUAAAAACUUUGAAAUUUGAGUUUAAAAAUAUUUUCGCUUUUCUUUAGAAGUGCUUUUGUAAAUAAAUAAAAAACUCAAAAAUCCAAAAUAAUUUCUUAAUAGUCUUUCUUUCGAAAUUAAGAGGUAACGUUCAAAAUCCAAAAAUAUUUUCUUUCUUCCUUAGGAAAAGAUAAAACAAAUAAAAUUCAAACAAAAUUAUUUUCUUUUUACUUCUAAAAUUCCCAAAGUUCCAAUCAAAAGAAAAGGAAUUUUUAGAAGUGUUUAUUUCAAAAAUAAGAAUAGAGUUAAAUUCAAAAAUCCAAAAAAUAAAAUAAAAUCAUUUUCUUCUUUUAAAGUAUUUUUUUAGAAAAUUCCAAAAAGCAACAAAAAUAAAAAAAAUCAAAUUCCUUUAUUCUUUUAAAGCAUUUUUUUCAGAAAAUUCCAAAAAGAGUUAGUUUACUUACUCCAUUCCUAAUCCCCUGAACUACGCAAAAUCUGAUUCAUGCGGGGUCAUGAUACGUAGGCAAUCCUCAUCGGAUUCGAUCAUAGCUAUAAAAUAAACUGAAAAAAAAGAGAAAGAAAAUUGAGUGAAAAAAAGAAUGAAAAAGAAAUGAGUGUCAAAAAAAUAAAAAAGAAAAAGAAAAAGAAAAAGAAAAAGAAAAAGAAGAAAAAAGAGAGUUCCAAUAAUAAAAGAGUGGCACAAACAAAACAAAAAUCAAGAGUGAUUGGAAAGAAACAAAGAUGAGAAAAAAAGGUCCAUACUGAAAGAGUUUGGUAAGACCGGGAUGAAACAUGCAACCGUUCAUAGACACGGUAGAAGCGUUUAACUAUUAGGUGCAUUGCAUCCCAACGUGUGAUUUCCUAUAUGUUAAAUGUACCAAAACUAACAAGGUUGUUGUGUGAGCAAAUUGGUCAGGUUCUAUUAAGAUGGUUGGUUUUGUUGGUAUGCAGUGAUGAACGCGCAACUUUGCACGCGACCACAAUAUUUUACACAAAUUCGAGCUCCACCUCCCAGAAAUGUCCAUCCUUACCCAGCUCCAUAUAAUAACCAAUCAAAUAUUCCGCAGUACAAUCCUCUCCCGAGAGAGCCUUUUAAAAGGAAUUAGCUCACUCCUAUUGGUGAAUCAUACUCGGGUUUGUUCCCAAAGCUAGUCAGGUGAGGUCUGCCAUAGCCUGUGGACCAAAUUCGGCUGGCCCUGGGUCCCUACCGCACUGAGCUGAUGUAUUUGUGAACACGCUGGAGAAGUGGGGCACAGUAGAGAGGACUGUUAGACCCUCAAAAGGGCAAUUGAGGAUCUAAUUGAAGCUGAAAGAAUCAUUUUCCGAGAUGAAGAAGCUACUGAUGUGAUUAACAACCUUUUUCCUGCCCACAACAUCAGGCCAAUUGUCGAAAUGAUUUGUGAAGAUGAGGAAUUUGAUCCGGUCCUGAAGUCCAUAGCAGCCAUUGCCGAGAUAGAAGAAAAUCCAAAAAAUGGUUGCCAAGCUUGAAAGUUCCUCAUCAAAUGGGAGUCUCGGUAGCCAGUUUUGCUAUCCUUUCUGCAUUCAGAUUAUCUCAGGGUGUGAUCCAGAUGUUUUACUUUAUUGUCUUUCUUUCCGAUGUGAACCCUUCUAUAAAAAAAAUCAAAAAAUCAAAAAAUCAAAAUCAAAUGAAAUUAAUAUUUCAUUGUCCAUGAAUGUCUCUUUUCUUAAUCUUAGCAUUUUUUUCUUUCUUAUUCUCUUUUUGUUCUAUUAAAUGCAGAUUUCAAUAGCAUGACAUGCUUGUAGACUUUAUGCCCG
rnacentral:lncRNA from 1 species